GCUCCGGUGGUUGAAGUGAUUAGAGCUUCCGCCUAAGAUGCGCGAGGUCGCAGGUUCAAACCCCGGCCGGGCCA